AGAAAAGUUAAUUCAACAUAUAAAAUGAAUAAAUUAGGUGUAAGGCUUAGGUCAUUAGGGAAUAAUUUUCUUAUCAAAAUCUAGUUGGAUUAAAAACUGCUCUAUGGUAGUAAGUAUUGUAUAAGGCAGUAUAACUACACCAGCCUGAGAUCAUAAAACCAUUUUGGUUGAUCCUUGAGUGAUGAUCAUGAUUUCAUCGAGUAACAAGAGUAAAAAAAAAAAAAAUCCAA